ensembl:snRNA U2 U2 spliceosomal RNA
AUUGCUUCUCGGCCUUUUGGCUAAGAUCAAGUAUAGAAGUUAUUCUUUUCUUAAACCUAAAUUAAAAUUAAAUAUCAGGACCUUUA